GGUGAUAUAGCUCAGUUGGUAGAGUGCUUGCCUCACAUAUACAAUGCCCUGGGUUUGAUCCCCAGCACCACCA
rnacentral:tRNA from 1 species